UACGGAGGGUGCAAGCGUUGUCCGGAAUUAUUGGGCGUAAAGAGCUCGUAGGCGGUUUGUCGCGUCGGCUGUGAAAACUCGGGGCUCAACCCCGAGCCUGCAGUCGAUACGGGCAGACUAGAGUGCGGUAGGGGAGACUGGAAUUCCUGGUGUAGCGGUGAAAUGCGCAGAUAUCAGGAGGAACACCGGUGGCGAAGGCGGGUCUCUGGGCCGAUACUGACGCUGAGGAGCGAAAGCGUGGGGAGCAAACAGG
rnacentral:rRNA from 1 species